rnacentral:tRNA from 1 species
GCUAAGGUGGCAGAGCCUGGUAAAUGCAGGAAGCCUAAGCUUUCCCGACCAGAGGUUCAAAUCCUCUCCCUAGCU